rnacentral:tRNA from 1 species
AUUUAGCUCAGUGGUGUAAGCACCUGCCUGGCAAGCAGGAGGUCAUGAGUUUGAGCCCUAAAAU